rnacentral:rRNA from 1 species
AGGGUGUAAACGCUGCAGACUUGGUGUUGGAAAUCCUUCGAGGGUAUUCAGUGCCGGAGAGAAGUUGUUAAGUCUGCUACUUGGGGAGUACGUCCGCAAGGAUGAAACUUAAAGGAAUUGGCGGGGGAGGCACCGCAACGGGAGGAGCGUGCGGUUUAAUUUGGAUUCAACACCGGAAACUACACCAGGGAGGACUGUUACAUGAAACCCAGACUAAUGAUCUUGGUUGAUUUCUAGAGAGGUGGUGCAUGGCGUCAGUGACU